rnacentral:rRNA from 2 species
GGUAUUGAUUGGUGCUUGCAUCAUGAUUUACAUUUGAGUGAGUGGCGAACUGGUGAGUAACACGUGGGAAACCUGCCCAGAAGCGGGGGAUAACACCUGGAAACAGAUGCUAAUACCGCAUAACAACUUGGACCGCAUGGUCCGAGUUUGAAAGAUGGCUUCGGCUAUCACUUUUGGAUGGUCCCGCGGCGUAUUAGCUAGAUGGUGGGGUAACGGCUCACCAUGGCAAUGAUACGUAGCCGACCUGAGAGGGUAAUCGGCCACAUUGGGACUGAGACACGGCCCAAACUCCUACGGGAGGCAGCAGUAGGGAAUCUUCCACAAUGGACGAAAGUCUGAUGGAGCAACGCCGCGUGAGUGAAGAAGGGUUUCGGCUCGUAAAACUCUGUUGUUAAAGAAGAACAUAUCUGAGAGUAACUGUUCAGGUAUUGACGGUAUUUAACCAGAAAGCCACGGCUAACUACGUGCCAGCAGCCGCGGUAAUACGUAGGUGGCAAGCGUUGUCCGGAUUUAUUGGGCGUAAAGCGAGCGCAGGCGGUUUUUUAAGUCUGAUGUGAAAGCCUUCGGCUCAACCGAAGAAGUGCAUCGGAAACUGGGAAACUUGAGUGCAGAAGAGGACAGUGGAACUCCAUGUGUAGCGGUGAAAUGCGUAGAUAUAUGGAAGAACACCAGUGGCGAAAGCGGCUGUCUGGUCUGUAACUGACGCUGAGGCUCGAAAGUAUGGGUAGCAACAGAUUAGAUACCCUGGUAGUCCAUACCGUAAACGAUGAUGCUAGUGUUGGAGGGUUUCGCCCUUCAGUGCUGCAGCUACGCAUAGCAUCCGCCUGGGGGAGUACGCCGCAAGGCUGAAACUCAAGGAAUUGACCGGG